rnacentral:lncRNA from 1 species
CCAAGGAAGAAAUGAUUGAAAAACUAACCGCCAGACCUAAACACUAUAUUAGGGCCACAGACGUUGAAGUUUCCACAUUAAGUGAUGAAUUGCAUCAAUUGAGAGCCGAUUUAGCAGAAGCUAGAGAAAGGGAGCGAAGGAAUAACGAACAGCCCAGGCGGAAUUCGCAGGCACAGUUGCAUGACACAUAUCGCAGUAAUAAUGCCGUUCAGGAACCAUUAUUUCGUCCCACAUCGGAAAUUUAUUAUAAGUGAAUCUUCGUCAGCGCGCGCCAUAAUUAAGUCUGUAGCUAGAGAUCCGAACAAUAACGGACAUCGACAAGGGAAAUUCGGAACAU